GACGAACGCUGGCGGCGUGCUUAACACAUGCAAGUCGAACGGAAAGGCCCUGCUUGCUUGGUAUUCGAGUGGCGAACGGGUGAGUAACACGUGGGUGCUCUGCCCUCCACUUCGGGAUAGGCCUGGGAAACUGGGUCUAUUACCUAAUAGCAGCCAUUUUUUGUGUGUUGGUUGGAAAGUUUUUUCGGGGUAGGAUGAGCUCGCGGCCUAUCAGCUUGUUGGUGGGGUAAUGGCCUACCAAGGCGGCGACGGGUAGCCGGCCUGAGAGGGUGGCCGGCGACAUUGGGACUGAGAGAAGGCCCAGAUGCCUACGGGAGGAAGAAGGGGGGAAGAUUGAACAAGGGGCGCAAGGCUGAUGCAGCGAGGCCGCGGGGGGGAUGACGGUCUUCGGGGUGAAAACUCGUUUCGCGAGGGAAGAAGCUUGUUGUGACGGUACCUAGAUAAGAAGCACCGGCUAACUACGUG
rnacentral:rRNA from 1 species